UUUGAUUUUUCAUUCUGUUAUUUUAGAAGUUACGGGGGGCACACAUUUUACCACUUUGGAAGUGUCUCUCGCGCAAACUAUUCAGCUUAGAAAAAAAUGAUAUUAGAAACCUCAAUAUAAUUUUUAAAGACCUAUCCAUAGAUAUCCCACACGUAUGGGUUUGAUGAAAAAAGAUUUUUUGAGUUUCAGUUCUAAGUAUGGGGAACCCCCAAAAUUUAUUGUUUUUUUUCUAUUUUUGUGUAAACAUCCUAAUGCGGUUCAUAGAAUACAUCUACUUACCAAGUUUGAACAGUAUAGCUCUUAUAGUUUCGGAAAAAAGUGGCGGUGACAUAAUCGGACAGACAGACGGACAUGACGAAUCUAUAAGGGUUCCGUUUUUUGGCAUUUGGCUACGGAACCCUAAAAAGGAUUGUAUUUAUUGUGUGUAAUUUUAUUUUUAUUUUGAUACUUCAUAACUUAGUAAUUUCUCGACCGAUUUUAAAAAUUAUUUUUUUGAUUGAAAGACUAAUUAUACAUUAUACAUAUUGGCCCCAUUUUUGCCAAAAAACCCAGUUCUGAUGGUGGAAUCCAUGAGGAAUUGAGGGAAGUCCUGAACUCUUACAGGCAUACUAAAAGGGAUCUUUUAGUUUUUAUCUAAAAACCAAGCAUUUGCAUUUAAAUAAUAAAUAGUGCGUGUUCGUGAUAUGGAACUUAAAAAUACCAAAAUUGUAACAAUACAUUUUUAAAAGUCUUGAGGCUAAUUAUAAUUUUUACGAGAUGCAAUGUGGUUGGAAAUUAUUAAAUGGCAUUUCAAACCGAUUGAAAAGUCGAUUUUUUUUAAAAUAAAGAUUAGGUAUUUAGUUCCAAAUGUAGUAAUGUACCGAAUUCAAAUUCAUGAAUAAACAUGGAAUAAGACCACGCUCCAAGUUUCUGAUAAUCAUACACUUCCGACAAUAUGUCCUUAUUUAAACAAGCCGAGACACUAAUCUUCAGCAACCGUUAUCAACACCUUAUCAACACUAGACUCUUAAUAAAACAAAUAUUAUUCAACUAAAUAAACGGGAAAGUUCUUGGUAGUGGACGCGUGGUGCUACCAAACCUGCUAUUUGCACAGCUAAGCAAACUACAUGCGUUUGUUGUUAUCUUUAAACCAAUGUCAUAAGCACUGUAGAGUGUAGGCUAAUGGGUUGCGACAGAGCUCUUGGAAUAGUUGAGUAAUAUCAGAGUGUUGUGUGUACCUAUGACGGAGUUGCGCCAGCUAAGAAAAGCUGUAAAAUAAUAGCAUCAUUGUCGGCUAUAUCGCUUAAACUGGGUUAGGUUGUUUACUUGUACCUUACAGGCAAAGUUGCUGAACGAUAUGAUUUACACAUGGUCAAAGCAUUUAUACGAAAACAUUUCGUGCGACCACUAUUGUUUGGCUAGAGACAUGUCUAUAAGGAAUGCAUUUUGUCUUUUACAAGCUUUUAUUUAACUUGCAAUGUAUGUAACUAUGUAAAUUGUACCUAUGUUUGUACCUACGGGUCAAAUCUUGCAAGUUAUAUUUGACUCACUUUCCAGUCUUCAAAGAAGCUGGAAAUUUGCACACAUUUGGAAGUUGUGUGACAAUGCAAUAUUAUGAUACCAUAAUAUAUUAUGAAUAUUAUGAUACCAUCGAGCUGAUCUGGAGAUGGAGACAGGAGGUAGCCAUUAAAACUCCGUGAUAAAUCAAAGCAACCUAAUUGUAUUUGAGGUUGCUAGAAUUGUUUCCACGAGUACUAGUUGCCUGUGGAAAGAAAAGUACAAUCAGCAAUAAAAGUUUGUAUCAAAAAUGAAGUUUUUGACAAAAACUAUUUCUUUCCAACACAAGCUGCAACGAAGACAGAACUAAGUAUAUUGAUUAAAAAAAGGAAAAUAGAAAUAAGUGCACGCGAUUAAGUCCCAAAUUAUGGGAGACAGAACUGAAUGCUAAGGCGCCUAUACGCGAGGUAGGUGAAGGGCUAGAUACAGCAUAGGAUAAUACUGUUCAAGCUGCAAUCUAUUCCGAGGGGACUCGGGGACCCCAAUCAGACUAGAUAAUUGAAAAAACGGCACUCAUGAACCGACGAGUGCCGGAUCCGGAUUGUUCAAAAUAUGUAAAAUUCUGUGUAGGCGCUUACAACUCAUGUGAGGAAAGGAAGCCAGUGCAAAGCAAAUAGACAAAUGCAAAUGACGUUAAACACCUAUUAAUUGGCGCUCAAAAUGACAGAUAUCGACACCUAGUUUUGGGUGGGGCUAUCGGCAACAGGCUGAACCCAAGGACUAGGGUUGCCAACCUAAAUGCACAGUUUUGCGGUACAUUUGCGAUCAAUUUGCGGGACUUGGGUAUACAAUGCGGGACUCCUUCACCCGGCCUACUGGGAAAUCAUAUACCUAUUUGCCGUCAACGUAUUGAAAGACAUGAAAAGACAAAUUAAAGUCACGCGCUGGUGCAACCUCCGUUUCAUUGCUUAUAAUCUAGUCUAGCCAGAAAACGGGACAAUCGGCGUCCCGCACGGACCUUUUGCGGGACGCAUACUUUAGGGCUCCAGAAACGGGACGUCCCGCGUAUUGCGGGACGGUUGGCAACCCUACCAAGGACCCUGAAGGAUUUCUGGCAGUGGUUGUAAAGGGAAAGCCCAGGAUCGAAUUAUAUGGCGCAAAGUGCUAUUAGUGUUAGCAGUGAUACUGCUUGCAGGGCCCGAAUACAAUAUUGUCUUGUCUAUCUACGCCGAGUUUACAUAAGUGGCAGUGGCACUGUUUGAACAACUAAUUAAACUUUUUGAUGUGUGAAUUGACGUCCACGCCCCUGUUGUAGGUAUAGACAUCGUAAAAUAAAUUGUUUGACUUUUAUUACGUCGAUGAAACCGUUAUGGAGGAUAAAUUAUUUAGAAGAUUCUUAGAAAAGUGCGUAGUCGCGGGCAAAUGUGCGUAAUAUAUUAAAAUUCGCCACGCAAUAUCUACCCACCCAACCGAAAUACAAAUGAAAUAUUGUGUAAAUUACAUAAAAGCAAAUUUAUGCAGGCUUUUACUUUUAAUCGAUUAGUAUUCAGAUUACCGUCGACUUUCCCUCGUGUGAUGUGAUGGGUAAGUUCAACAGUGAACCACGCUUUGUCUUCAUCCAUUAGUCCCGAUUUUUUUACACAAUCCAAAAUCCAGUUAGCUGGUACUCUCACUUGGCAUAUAGAUUUAAAUUGCAAAUCUAAGUUUAUGUAGAUUUUUAUUUUUACAAAAAUAUUUGUAUUCGAUAUAUUUUAGUUUUGCUUUAUUGACUUUAUUCCAACCUGUUAGUACAGUUGUGUGUUAACUUGUUAAGUCGUAAAUGAUAAUCUUUGAAAAAAGAAUGGUUUAAGUAACAACCGGGAACUGCAAAUUUCAAGUCUGGGCUGGAUAGAUCUCCUACUCAUACCCAUUUCACAUUUGUAUUUAUUUAAUUAGGAGUACAUUAUAUGCAAUUAAUGCAAUCCCAAUCCCCUCUCUCAUCAAGAUCCACCCUCAAAAUUAUAGUUAUUAACAGUAACAGCUAGCAUUUACCCCCCAAAAGACAUGUCGAAACACCAAACGAUGGACAAAGUCUCCAGACAAAUAACAACUGUUAUGGUGAACGAAACACGUUCAAGCGGCGCCGAGUCGUAAAUUUACGACCACAAACAAGCAGCACGCACACAGAGAAGAUACAUAUCACACAAGCGAGGGCACACACUGCGCAGACGGGUCGUGCGCGCCGGCGGCUCGGCUGCGCGCCCGAGCCCGACACACGUUUACUCAAUGAACACAAGCCGGGCACAGGCAGAGACGGGAUAGCCAACAAAUUAUCGAUUGGCAUUGAGGCUAUUUUCCUGGCUAGGCUUCCUUAUCUGGGAAGUCUGGAGUGGAACCAAGCAAGAAUCUCAAGACCGAUUGGCAUGAAAAAACACUGUAGACGGCCUCUGCCUCAUCGAAGGGACUAUAUGAGCUGAGGAUCUGGUCAAGAUUGCAGGGUAGUGUGGGAGGCCAUUGUUCAGCCGUAGAAGAUUAGGUGUCAGCUGAUAUGACGAUCUGUAAUUUGGGCAUAUCAACAGUCUUUUGGAACAGUAAUCAGAAGAUUAUUUUAGUGAGUACAGACCUUAAGCACUUUACUGCAUAUAGCCGAAGACGAAACAGAAUACAUUAACGAUCGAUCGAUAAAACCUGCAAAUUGCUUCACGGUCUCAUUUCUGGGAAGUUCGGAUCAAUCGCUUCAAAAGUGGGCGGCAUAAGUGAAUGAAUAUGGCCGACUGGCCGGAACAGAGUUAGAAUAGUUUAAGCGGCUAAGUUAUAGGGAAAUCAAGGUUAGGUAUAUCUAAAUAUUUCAUUAUAGCAAAUAAACUAUGUACUACUCAAUUUACGUAUCAUUUUAUUUUACUUGGAUAUUCAGUACAUGCUUCUUGGUUGCGAAAUGAUAUAGUACAGUCAGCUGGAGAGACAACUAACCCCCCCUGGAUAGAAAUUUGUUUGCAGGGGCGGUCAACUAUCUCUACAGCUGACCGUGACCGUACAUAGAUAGCUACAGCGAAACAGCAGGUAUCACUUUACAACUGAAUUAUGCAGCUGCAAUCAAUGACAGAUAGGCCAAUUCGAGUUUUAGUUUUUAGUCGAUCUGUUUCCGAUAUGAUACUGAUCUGUCAGUGUCAAAAAUGAUAUAGAAUUACUACCUAUAAUUAUGACCUAAACACGUCUUAACAAAAAUCUGCCAGCAGGAAUGAAUGGAAGUAAUUAUGAUCUUACGUAAGUAUUUAUAAGUAAUUAUUUUGUUCAUCGAGUUUCUAAGAAAUCAGAAUCGAGUAAAGCCCCGACUACUUGCAGAUAAGUAUAGUAAGUAGGUAUUAGGUAGAAUAGAUAUAAAUUAUGAAUAUUACAUUUGUCUCUUAAUAACGUACUAAUAAAUAAUUAAAUAUGGAUUGUUGGCCAACUGCUAUAUUAAACACACAAUAAGAGAUUAUAAAUGUAAAACAAUGCACGUAUCCUAUACAUAAAAUUACGAACCAUAUAUGGACUCUCUUAUCAUGAUUCCGCAAUCUCUGCAUUAUGGAGCAUUUAAGAAGAUAUGCGGUAUUCGUAUAAAGGUUAUUUUAAGUCUAAAAUAUACUGUCAUAGACCCACAUUUUUAAAUUAAGCAAUUGACCGUAAGUCGACUGUCAACUAGACAAUAUGACCCCAGAGGAACGAAAUUAAUCGCAAGAGCUUAGUCUGCAAUGCCAGGCCAGGGUUUUAUCCUCGGCUUGUUCAUUGGAAAAAGUGGAAUUUUCUCUAAAGAACUAAAAGCUACUUCGUUCCUAGGUGGCGUUAACAUAUUUUUAACAAAGCUCUAUUUUGUAUGCCCUUAGAACAAACACGGUUAAGAUUUCAAGAGUAGGCAAGCGUCGAGAAUCUGCCCAACUCAGUUGCCCAAGUAACACUGUGUCAAACUAGCAAAGACAAGUAAAUAUAGCUCUUUAAAAGUUUGUAACAAAUUAUGCACAAAAGCUAAAAAUAUGAACAUUGGUUCUAAAAAUCGGCAAUAUCAUGUUUGAGGGAACGUAUCGAUUACUUUUUAUUUUAAACAGGGCGUACAAAUAUUUAAAUUUAGAAACAUGAUACCCAACCCAAGGCACGCACUUCCAUCUUGGUCACGCUUACGCUCAGUGAGAGUGAGAAAAGAACACGAACUUAGCGGGUCGAAAUCAGUAUCGGUAUGGUUCUUGAUCUUGAUGCUAUAUGUUAGCGCGGCACCAGGGCCAGCCGCCACGCCAGCAGGGUGCAACAAUACCCGCCGCGGCCGUGGGAAAAGGAUUGCCAUUCUCAUGCUCUCUGAGCAUAUAAACUCGGGUAGACCAAUAUAACUGUCACCUCGAGGUCCAUAAUAAUUAUGCGUAAUUGGAGACCCAGAUUACAUAUACUAGUGCGCGUCCGGCCAUGCGGUUACAAAACAGAUCAGUACCCCUAGUGUAAAUUUUAUCGACAUCAUAACGUGACGAACGCGUUUGCGUUAAGUCUCAUUUUGUAUAGGAUUUUAAGUUUCCAAAACGUCCCGCUUGGCGCGCUCUUUCUAAAUCCAAUACAAAAUGAGACUAAACGCAAACGCGUACGUCACGUUUCAAAAUCGAAUUUAUUUACACUAGGGGUACAGGGUUCAGUACCCCUAGUGUAAAUAUUUUCGACAGCGAAACGUGACGUACGCGUUUGCGUUAAGUGUCAUUUUGUAUGAGAUUUUUGACUUUCCAAAACGUCCCGCUUGGCGCGCUGUUCAAAAACCCAUACAAAAUGAGACUUAACGCAAACGCGUACGUCACGUUUCGCUAUCGACUAAAUUUACACUAGGGGUACAGACUUGAAACUUACGAGUUAUUAAACUCAAAUAGUUUGCCUGAAUUGCUUGUCUCGCUAUAUUGCCAUUCAUUACUAUAACUCGCAACGCAAUUAUCCUUCCUACAUCCGCACGAUAUUAUAUGUUUUUGGGAAACGUCUACAGUUUAAGAUAUAGAAGAUGUAGCGACGAACAAUGGUUAGUAUACAGGGUGUUUAUUUAGUCACCUGCAAUAAUUUUCGGGCUGAAUAUAUAGGUCAUACUGAGCAACUUUUACUAUGAGAAUAACCCCGAAACCGCGAAAAAUUUACUCUCCCAUAGAAAAUGUCAAGGUCAGACAGCCAAAAUAUAUGAAAAAUAUAUUUUGUUUUCGAUUUUGUAAUUGGCCCCAUAGUAAAAGUUGCUCAGUAUGACCUAAAUAUUCACUACGGUAAUUAUUGCAGGUGACUAAAUGGACACCUUGUGUUAUGCCUUAAGCACACGCAAGUCGGCUAACCCCAAAAGAAAAUAAUGAUGUCAUAACGGAUCGGCAAUGAUAUGACCUACAGAUGAUAACAAGUCAACUCAUCAAACAGGGGAAGAACUGCUAACUGGAUUUGCUAUCUCGAAGAAACAUAUCGCAAAUAAAACAGCUACAGCCAACAACGAUCACUCAUUUGCCCGAUCUCCUCUGAAACGACCACAAUGAAGAAAUAUUCGGUGACGGGAAACAAUUUGACGAUCAAAAUACACGAGAACAAAACACGACUACGGAUUAUAGGAAAUAACAAUAAUGUGGAGGCCGAUAAGAACGAAGGCGAAAUACAAAUGGUUGGAGUGAACUGCACUGUGACGGUUCACCAGAAUUCGGGAACCAUCAACCUGGUCACCGAUCUUUGGAAAGAAGAAAACAAGAUAUUAGUUAUUGCAAAACAGGACAUGAAAAUGCCGACAAAAAUGACAUUUAUCGGAAAGCUAAAGCAGAAGUUAAGAAAGAAUAUAUUCAUAUGGUGACAAGUGUAGUGAAUUGUGUUCUGUGAUGUACCCGUGUGAAAUAAACUUUCAUUUUAAAAUACGCAAAAUUAACCCUUAAUAAAAUAGAAAUGUGUCCAAAAUUAAGCCAAUUUGAACCAAUUUUUUUUUUCAUAGAGUCGAAAUGAUGGUGGAUAAUAUAUUUACGACAUACAAUAUAGAGCUUUGUUUUUAAAAAAAAAAAAUAUAGUCGAAAUGAUGGUGAUAAAUAUAUUCCCCUUGUCUUAUUAAGGAUUAAUCAUUAUCUAUGAAAUAAGCACACUUGUGUUGCACUUGUUAUCUCGUCAGAGACAGCCUUGAUAUUUGCAGUGGUAAAAGGAAUUCCUGACGGAUAACCGUUUGGAACAACUGUGCUUGGAAUGUGGUAGAUAAAGACUCUUUGUGUUCACGAUAAACUUACGUAUGCAUUCAAUUGCAAUGCAUAAUUUACUCUUGAGGAAUUGUGUUUUGCUGGCUCAUACUUAUCAUGAUACGUUAUUAGCAAUAAAAAAAAUAUUAAAAAGCGCUAAAAUGUUUCGCCAUUUGUAAGUUAAAUGGCAAAACAUUUUAGCGCUUCUUAAAUUUUACUUUAUAAUCAAGCUAAAUACCUAUUUAGAUACUUUUGGCUUACGGUAAAAUUUAAAAUAGCUGCAGUUACUAAUGCUCGAGGGCUACUCCCAGUAUAAACUAACUAUAAUGUUAUAGUCCUCAAAUUAAGGUUAUACAUUCCGGUGCAGGUUAUUAUUCCGUAGCUGAAUUCUUAGAUGAAUAGCCUAUUAAUGUAUUAUGUUUAAUUAUUCUUUAUAAUGACAUGUUUUGUAUUUUUAUUGUUGUAUCUUCCUUUGUACUAAUGUAAUUAUGUUUGACAUCCAUCUUGCACCUAUGUACCUAAUAAAAAUGUAACACUGACAAUGUAUUAUUAAUACAAAUAAACGAAUAUGAAUAUGAAUAUGCAUUGCCAACCAGCAGAUGGGUUUAUUCAAAAACCUCAUCCACAUCUUAUACUUGUUUUACGUUUUUAUUUCUUCCAACGCUAUGUGAAGUAAAUUGAUGAUAACAUUGAUGACGUAUACGUAUAACCAUCUUCUCUUGUAUAUGAUUUUUUAUUGUUUGACGCGUGUAAUUGUAUUGUACAUUUUAGCUAUGAGCACUUUACAAAUUAUAGCGAUCCAACGGCACUAAACGUCAAAGGUUAUUUUUGCACAAUCUGGUGACUACAAAGACCACGGCUACAAUUAGUUGGAAACUUUCAAUGUCAAGACUAUCCUCGAUGUUAGUUAAUCGCUGUAACAUCCGCAACCCGAGCAGGUGUGACGUCACGCCAACCUGUUGCCGAACUAUCAAAAUUAGAUAACGGCGAUGGGAGACUUUCACUCAUCGACUGAUUUCACUUUCCCCUCGCGGCCGGCCCACUAAUGAGACGGUUCGAUCUUGCGCAAUAACAAAGAGAAGUCGCAUCGAACAGACUAGCUUCACUUAAGUAUAUCAGCUGCUAUCUCUUUUCAACUUCAACCAUGUCGGAAAAGGAUAGGACUAGAAUAAGAGGGACCACUUUAUUGGUGUCAGCCAAAAGCGGGAUAGACUCCGAUAUGUGGGGCGACUUGACAUUUCCUUAACCGAAAUGCAAAAAUAUAACGACUUACAUGAAAUCAAGCAUUAUGUUUGUAUUCUAUAGCCUUCUCGAAUUUGCAACGAAAGUAGAUAAGUAGUUAUACCAGCAAAUGAGGAACUGAAACGAAGGCCCAAGGUUUUCCAGCCACACUUCGUUCACACAGCAGCACGUUCUUCCCAAGCACCGGUAACGAUGCCAUAGCAUUCCAUGUUACGCUUGCAAGUCUUUAAAUCUUAAUAUCGGGCGCCCCACAGGUCUUUUUGCAUGUGCUAUCUGACCCAUCAGCACGUACAACAUUAUUUUGUACUAAUUCUACAAGUUCUACAACCUAUUCUGAACUUUUAUAGAGUAACUAAAAAAUUCGAAAUUAAAAAAAAAAAACAACUGCUUCUGUGUCUCAGGAGUAAAGAGGGAAGAAUAGAUUUUCGAGUCCAACGAAUUUUUUCCUAAUUUUUCUAAUUCUCUAACUAUUUAUGCUAAUGUCUUUAUUUCAAUUUUGUUAUUUUUCAAUGCUUAGAUUUGACACAUUAUAUUUGCACGCUUGCUUGCAAGCAAAAUACACAUUGUACCUGAAUAGUCCUAACACCGUAUGUUACUGUAUUUUUGCACAUAAAUAAAUGAUUGAUUGAUUGAUUGAAAGAAAUAACGGUAAUUUUUCUAUGAAAUUCCGUUUCACGAGAAAACGGUUUCCACUAACUAAAUCUUAACAAGACACUUGGAUUUUUUUGUCGAUCGUUACAACAUAAUAUAUUGUAGAAUUUUUUUUUUGU